GGUGCCCUACGGGACGCAGCAGUAGGGAAUUUUCGUCAAUGGGCGCAAGCCUGAACGAGCAAUGCCGCGUGAACGAGGAAGGUCUUCGGAUCGUAAAGUUCUGUUGAAGGGGAAAAAGAGCGGAGAGAGGAAAUGAACUCCGAUUGAUAUUACCCUUCGAGGAAGUCACGGCUAACUACGUGCCAGCAGCCGCGGUAAUACGUAGGUGGCGAGCGUUAUCCGGAAUGAUUGGGCGUAAAGGGUGCGUAGGCGGCCUGCUAAGUCUGGAGUGAAAGGUAACGGCUCAACCGGUACAG
rnacentral:rRNA from 1 species